rnacentral:rRNA from 2 species
UUGGUGCUUGCAUCAUGAUUUACAUUUAAGUGAGUGGCGAACUGGUGAGUAACACGUGGGAAACCUGCCCAGAAGCGGGGGAUAACACCUGGAAACAGAUGCUAAUACCGCAUAACAACUUGGACCGCAUGGUCCGAGCUUGAAAGAUGGCUUUGGCUAUCACUUUUGGAUGGUCCCGCGGCGUAUUAGCUAGAUGGUGGGGUAACGGCUCACCAUGGCAAUGAUACAUAUCCGACCUGAGAGGGUAAUCGGCCACAUUGGGACUGAGACACGGCCCAAACUCAUACGGGAGGCAGCAGUAGGGAAUCUUCCACAAUGGACGAAAGUCUGAUGGAGCAACGCCGCGUGAGUGAAGAAGGGUUUCGGCUCGUAAAACUCUGUUGUUAAAGAAGAACAUAUCUGAGAGUAACUGUUCAGGUAUUGACGGUAUUUAACCAGAAAGCCACGGCUAACUACGUGCCAGCAGCCGCGGUAAUACGUAGGUGGCAAGCGUUGUCCGGAUUUAUUGGGCGUAAAGCGAGCGCAGGCGGUUUUUUAAGUCUGAUGUGAAAGCCUUCGGCUCAACCGAAGAAGUGCAUCGGAAACUGGGAAACUUGAGUGCAGAAGAGGACAGUGGAACUCCAUGUGUAGCGGUGAAAUGCGUAGAUAUAUGGAAAGAACACCAGUGGCGAAGGCGGCUGUCUGGUCUGUAACUGACGCUGAGGCUCGAAAGUAUGGGUAGCAAACAGGAUUAGAUACCCUGGUAGUCCAUACCGUAAACGAUGAAUGCUAAGUGUUGGAGGGUUUCCGCCCUUCAGUGCUGCAGCUAACGCAUUAAGCAUUCCGCCUGGGGAGUACGGCCGCAAGGCUGAAACUCAAAGGAAUUGACGGGGGCCCGCACAAGCGGUGGAGCAUGUGGUUUAAUUCGAAGCUACGCGAAGAACCUUACCAGGUCUUGACAUACUAUGCAAAUCUAAGAGACUAGACGUUCCCUUCGGGGACAUGGAUACAGGUGGUGCAUGGUUGUCGUCAGCUCGUGUCGUGAGAUGUUGGGUUAAGUCCCGCAACGAGCGCAACCCUUAUUAUCAGUUGCCAGCAUUAAGUUGGGCACUCUGGUGAGACUGCCGGUGACAAACCGGAGGAAGGUGGGGAUGACGUCAAAUCAUCAUGCCCCUUAUGACCUGGGCUACACACGUGCUACAAUGGAUGGUACAACGAGUUGCGAACUCGCGAGAGUAAGCUAAUCUCUUAAAGCCAUUCUCAGUUCGGAUUGUAGGCUGCAACUCGCCUACAUGAAGUCGGAAUCGCUAGUAAUCGCGGAUCAGCAUGCCGCGGUGAAUACGUUCCCGGGCCUUGUACACACCGCCCGUCACACCAUGAGAGUUUGUAACACCCAAAGUCGGUGGGGUAACCUUUUA